CGUCAGCCUGCAGCAUGUAACCAGAAGAUUUCCAUCAUAUCUUUCGCUAUAAACCCCGAAAUGGUCCCAAUCCUUAAGAAAACCAGCAUUUUCUUCUACAAAAAAAGAGCCUCCUUACACCGAAUUCCAGAUUUUUUUUUUUUUUACCCUAUUAUUAUUUACCCGCACGACAGUAUUAUUUUUAAUGUAAGAACGAAAUAUCUCCUCCACACCUCCUAAAUCGGAAGACUAAAUGUUCAUCUGCGACCACAAGGAUCACCUGUACUUCUGCUCAUCUGGGACCUGAAGAUGUGCUGGAAAACCGCUGCAGAUCAGACUUUUACAUCCUGAAUUAUGAAGUGGCGAAACCUGUACAUGAAAUAAAAUAUACCAGUGCGUUGCAGUGUUGGUAAAGACCGGGCCAACUCAAAUGUGCAAUAAUGAAGAGAAUACAGUUAAAGAAAGUAAGAGCGCUUGAAGCAAAGCAGACUGAUGGGGAGGGGAAAAAAUCUGUAUCAGUGAAUGAUUAAUUAAUUUUGGCUGAAUGAUCUUUUCUAGCCUUGUGAGAUAUCACUUUCUAUUUCUUUUACACUUUUACUGAAGAUCUCAAGAGACUGGUAUUUCAAAGGGCCGUUCAAUUUAGAGCUCCCACUGGAAGUAGCUUCAGAAAGUCUUUGCCAUACAUUGGGCUUUGAUGUGUUUUAACUGUCAUAAUCUCACUGUU